AAGUCCGAGAAUCAGUCCUCUGCUCCGUCGCUGUCCAUUUAAGCACCUUGGAGAACUCCCAUCCGGAAGAACGUGCCACGGAAGAAGCACAUUUGGAUUGGGGUUGUGUAUGUUACGUCAUGUCUACAUAAAAAAGGACUGCAACGAUAGCCAAUAUUUCUUAUCUUCUGAAGGGUCAUUAUUAAAUUACUUACAGGGUUUAUAGAUGUUUGAUAGUUGAGUUGAUUGGUGGGGAAAAGGGUAUGCGUAACCUGAAUUCCUUGAAUGCACGCGAGAGAUCUCAAGGAUGGUCCAUUCUUGUUCGUCGAAAUGAUUGUUUUCCGCAAGAUUGGCCGAUAUAGUGAAGCCCUUUUGAAGCCUGCAUGGGUUGCGUUGUAAACAGCAGCAUGGGCAGCGCGCAUUCCAACCAGUCUAAAUAUAUCUGUGAGGGUUGCAAGAGGGGAAGGGCAGGACGACAGCCAAUUCUUGGAAGAUUUAACCGUCGUGUGCGAGAUAUAUAAAUUGUCUUUUAAAACGCACCAUAAAGACUGUUUCAUUAGUGAGGCAAGGUGGGAACGAGUCCAAGAUGCCGUCAAAUCAGAAUUCCAGAACCAGGACGCGGGAUCGGAACAACGUCCUGAGCAGACCCGAAUUUAUAUCCCUUAACCAACCCCUGCGAGGUGUCAACUCUGACAGCCGGGGCACGUCAAGGAGACCUUGUCAAGCCAAGCACCAAGCAAGCCAGUCAAGUGAGCAUUCGCAAGAACCUACCGACAAUGCCAACAAGGAUCGGAAAGAGCCCGCAAAACUUCCAGAGGAAGACUGCAUGCUGCUGAACCCUUCGUUCAAGGAGAUAGCAAUGAAUUCUCUCCUCGCCAUUGACAUUUGCCUGUCCAAGCGCAUGGGGGUCUGCGCUUACACGUCUUCGUCUUGGGGGAGCGUCCGUUCCAUGGUCACCCUGCUCGCGCUUACUGGGCAUGGCAUCACGUGGAUCUUUGGCACUAUCGUGUGUCUAACUAGGAGUAAUACGCUGGCUGGACAAGAAGUCUUGGUCAAUCUACUGCUUGCCCUAAUACUGGAUAUCAUGACUGUGGCCGGAGUCCAGAAACUGGUCAAGCGUAAAGGACCAUGGGAGAUGAAUCCGGGUUUCAUGGACUAUGUCGCCAUGGAUGUCUACUCCUUCCCUGCAGCCCAUGCCAGCCGAGCAGCCAUGGUGUCUAAGUUCCUUCUGUCGCACCUGGUUCUGGCCGUGCCCCUUCGCAUCCUAUUGGUCCUCUGGGCUUUCCUAGUUGGCCUAUCCCGGGUACUGCUGGGGAAGCAUCACCUGACCGACAUAGCCUGUGGCUUUGCACUGGGCCUGCUACACUUCAGUCUGGUGGAGACGGUGUGGCUGUCCUCCAGUGCCUGUCAGACGCUCAUCUCUAUAGGCACACUGAGCUGGAGCCCCUUUUACUGAAAACAUCUGCUAGGUUAAUGUUAUUAAGCUCAUAUGAUGCUCUGUAAUCGAGAAUAUAGACAAUAUGCCACCUUGUAAAUAUGCCUGUCUUGAAAAAAGAAAAAGGGCUUCAUAACAGCAGUAUGGCUUUUCUGUAAUAUCUCUGAUGAAUAUUUACCACCCACACUUCUAAAAUCUUUGCACAUUGAUCAUGAGUAAUGUUUUUUUAAUGGCAGCAUGUGAAAAAGGUUAACAGGGCAAUAGUUCAACAGGACAGGAAACGUGGUUGUAUGUGUUUGAUCUAUGCUCCCACUUUUGACUAGAGUGUGUCACUCCUUUUGCUUGAGCCCCAAUGCUGUCGGGUCCUGUUCCGAUUCUUCCUGUUCCUCAGACUGCACCUAGGGUCACUUCUUUCACUUUUUCCUCUCUUCCUUUUUUUCCCAACACAAAUAGCUAACUCUUACACCGACCUCUCUUUUCAAAAAAAAAUUUAAAUUAAAGAAUAUAUAUAGUUGAUGUACAAAUUGGACUGUGAAAUGUAUGACAAUGAUCAGUGAAGCUUCGUUGCACAUUUAUGUACAACCUGUGCAAAGUACCGUAUUUUCCGGACUAUAAGUCGCAUCAGUCAAAAAAUGCGUCAUGAAGAGGAAAAAAACAUAUAUGUCGCAUUUAUUUAGAUUUUUUUUCACAAAAUCCAAGACCAAGAACAGACAUUUAAUCUGGAAAGGCAAGUUAUUCAACUACACAAUGGCACACAAAACAACGGUCUAGGUCCGGUAUGUUAACAUAACACAUUAACAUUUAUUCAGCUACACAAUAACAUUAAGAACAUACUUGGAAGGCUGAAUAGGCUAAAUUAACAUAACAAGCUAGCGAGUCCAACAAGCCAGUUACCGGUAAGCUAGCUCACCAAGCUCCCGAUCUCAUUCCACAUCACUGAAUUCGUUGAACUCGUUGGUUCUUGUCAGUCAGUAUGAAUUAACAUUUAAAAACAUGUUAAAUUAUAUAUAUUUUGAUAUAUAAGUCGCACCUGACUAUAAGUCGCAGGACCAUCCAAACUAUGAAAAAAAAGUGUGAUUUAUAGUCCGGAAAAUACGGUAAUAUAAUAUACAAUCACCUGUUGAUAUGGACAUGAGCUGUAUAUAUUUCCACUGGGAAAUGUAAAUUGUUCCAAAACAUGGUGACAACAUGUAAUUCUGUUUUUGCUGUAAUUCCAUUUGGUUUGUGUGAAAACAGAUAAGUGGCUGUUGUGUAGAUCAGGGAUUCUACUACUGGAUUACACAAUGUUCAUCCAUGUCAAAUAGUGAGCUGAGUUUGCACCUUUCUAGCUAAUUUAUCUGAGGCAUUAAUGUGUAUCACACAUUGUUUGUCAAAGCAUUAACCAAACAGAUAAACAUGGUCCGUUUGUUGAUGGUGCUGAUUUUAUGCCUCACUGAGUCAAUAAGUCGUGUCUAUGUGAAUGUAAAGAUCAUUCUUUGCAUCGGGAUUGAAUUUACCAAUGGUACAGUGUGUGUGUGUGUGUGUGGGGGGGGGGGGGGGGGGGCACUGCUAGCACUGCUACUCUAGGUUUAAACGUUUUGACAAGCUAUGCUGUUCUGAAAUCAUUACUAUAUUAUUUUGGGUUAUUGUUGUCUUACGGAACAUCGAUGUCCAUCACAUAAAAUACAUAUUGCGAUUUAUCCUAUUGAUUAUUUUAGUCAACAUGUUGAAAUUUUACCCUUUUUGCCACAAUGAAAAGAUUGGAGUGAGUUGGACCAGUUUGUAUAUUGCUUGUGAGCAAGUCAGCAUGUUUCUUUUGUACAAGGGUGACAAAUUGUAUUUUAAUGCAAUGCAAAUUUUCCAAUCAAAUGUUCAAAAGGAAGCCUUACAAGCUGUGAAUGGUGGAUAUACUCCAUUAGUUAUUUCUGAGGUUGUUUAUGCAUGAAAACAUAAAGAAAGCUUUUGCUAUACAUUUUAUUGUAUUUUUUUGUAGAUUGAAAAGUUUGCAUUCUCUUUGAUAAUGCAAUGAUUUGAACAUUGUGUAUUUUAAACUAUUUAUUUUACAGUUUUGUGGUAUCUCAAACCGAAGAGUAAAAACAAUUGGACAGCCAGCUACAUGGGUUUUUGUUAUGCACUUGAAAAUGAAACGUCCCUUUUUCAGGAUAACGUAUUUCAAAGAUAAUUUUGUAAAAAUACAAAUAACUUUACAGAUAUUUAUUGUAAAGGGUUUAAACAAUGUUUUCCAUGCUUGUUCAAUGAACCGUAAAACAAUUAUUGAACCUGUGGAAUGGUCAUUAAGACACUAACAGCUUACAGACGGUAGGCAAUCAAAGUCACAUUAAUAAAAACUUAAGACACUAAAGAGAUCUUUCUACGGACUCUGAAAAACACCAAAAGGAAGAUGCCCAGGGUCCCUGCUCAUCUGUGUGAACAUGCCUUAGGCAUGCUGCUUGGAGGCAUGAGGACUGCAGAUGUUGCCAGGGCAAAAAAUGACAAUGUCCGUACUAUGAGAUGCCAUAGAAGACAACACUACAAGGAGACAGGACGGAUAGCUGAUCAUCCUCCCAGUGGCAGGACACGUGUAACAAGACCUGCAAAGGAUCAGUACAUCUGAAAAUCACACCUGUUGGACAGGUACAGGAUGGCAACAACAACUGCCCAAGUUACACCAGGAAUGCACAAUACCUCCACCCGUGCACAGACCGUCUGCAAUAGGCUGAGAGAGGCUGGACUGAGGGCUUGUAGGUCUGUUGCAAGGCAGGUCCUUAUUAAACAUCACCAGGAAAAAUUUCACCUAUUGGCACAAACCCACCUGGACUAGACAGGACUGGAAAAAAGUGUUCUUCACUGACAUCUCAACACAGUUGUCUCAUCUAGGUUGAUUGUCAUACUUGCCUUGAUUGUUAAGGGAAUGAGCGCUACACCAAGGCCUGUACUCUGGUGUAGGAUCAAUUUGCUAUUUGAGGGUCCGUCAUGGUCCAUGGCAGUGUGUCUUAGCAUCAUCGGACUGAACUUGUUGUCAUUCCAGGCAACACUGUGCGUUACAGGGAAGACAUCCUCCUCCCUCAUGUGGUUAGGGUUAGAUAACUCUAACCCUUCCUGCAGGCUCAUCCUGACACUACCCUCCAGCAUGACAAUUCCACCAACCAUACUGCUUUUUCUGUGCCUGCAAGACAGGAAUGUCAGUGUUCUGCAAUUGCUAGCAAAGAGCCCGGAUCUCAGUCCCAUUGAGCAUGGAUCGGAAGGUGAGGGCUAGGGCCAGGGCCAUUUCCCCCAGAAAGGUCAAGGAACGUGUUAGUGUGGCUUGGUGGAAGAGGUUGGUACAAAAAUGGGAGAUGAACCUCUCACAACAACAACUGGUAAAUCUGGUGCAGUCCAUGAGGUCGAUAUGAACUGCUGUACUUAAUGCAGGUGGUGGCCAGAUACUGACUGUUACUUUUGAUUUAGAUUAUUAUAAUUUUUAACCUAUUUUUACUGUGUUGCGGUAUUCUGGUGUUGUGGCAAUCUUUCAGAAAAUGGAAACUGAUCAUAUUCAAAUCCAUCCUUAAUAUGUGCCAUUCUGUGUUUUCCUCUUAAUUACCAACCCUUAGCAACAGUUACCUGAAUCCUCUGGUGCCAGUUGUUCAGAAGUGAUGUGAUCGGAUUUCAGCUAUUGGAUUAAAUCUUUAAAAUGGGUUGUUCAAAAUAAAAAAAGCAUUCUGAAAUUGGAUUAGAUCACGUAAUCCAGUUUUGGUUUUGGUCUGGAUAAAACCUUCCAAUAUGUUUUGUGAAAAACUUUUUAGUAGGACUGGGAUACCUUUGAUCUAAAAGAUCUAGAUCAUUCUGAUCCCAGCAGAAGGUUGGAUUCAUAGUGGAUUUCAGGAACAAAAUGUAAUAAAAGUUGAAAUUGGUCAAAUAAAACUAUAUUUGUAUCAUGUAGUACAUACAUUUAAUAAUAUGAAAGAGCAGAAGUACAGAUUUGUCUGGCAGAGGAACAAAUCACUCUUUACCCAACUUCAGCAAACCAAAACCAGACUUGAGAUCCGCCUCCUAAUAAGAGAGCUUCAAAAAUCUGGUCUCUCUACAACAGAAGACGAAAUCUGAAAGUUCUUUAACCCUUUUAACUAUUGGACAUUUAGCCCUUUUUCUGAUUUUGAAACACACGUUCAAAAUAUUCACAUUGUAUUUGUACAGAAUGUAUACAAUUUUUUUUUUGUGGGUCAGAUGGUAGCUCUGACAGUUUGGAUUGUUUUAGUUUGCCUUUUUCUGUCUCUUCAAAUCAAAACACUUAAAAGUGACCCCAUGCUGGCUAUUGAACUUGUUCUUUAAGUAGCUAAUAGCGUACAUUGUUAUAUGUAGUCCCAUUUAUAACACUGGGAAUCUGAAUUUGGUCAACAUUGGAUUGGGUUAUCCAAUCCAAUGUUACUUUGAAAAAUCAGCACAGAAGUAAGAUUGAUUACUUGAUCCUGGAUAGCAAAACAUGGGAUUUCAAAAUCCAGAUAAUUCUGAUCCAAAUUAAACUUUUUGAACAACUGGGCCCAGAUUAUAAUUGUAUUACAUGACAGAAAGGAUGAUGUAUACAACUUCGUUGAACAAGUUUUUUUGUGUGUGUGUAGUUGCACUGUCUGUGUUUCUGCAUGUUUUAAUAUACUGUAACUGCACUGAAAAAAACUGUAUUAAACAGGUCAAAUUCCAUGCAUCACCACAUACCAUA